AGAACAAACGCUGGCGGCGUGCCUAAUACAUGCAAGUCGAACGAGGAAAGCUUUCGGGUGAGUACUAGUGGCGCACGGGUGAGGAAUAUAUGGGUAAUCUGCCCUCGAGUUUGGGAUAACCAGUCGAAAGAUUGGCUAAUACCGGAUAAGACCACAGGAUCUGCGGAUCUAGGGGUUAAAGGUUUUUCGCUUGAGGAUGAGCCCAUAUGGGAUUAGCUAGUUGGUAAGGUAAUGGCUUACCAAGGCUACGAUCCCUAACUGGUCUUAGAGGAUGAUCAGCCACACUGGAACUGAGACACGGUCCAGACUCCUACGGGAGGCAGCAGUAGGGAAUAUUGCACAAUGGGGGAAACCCUGAUGCAGCGACGCCGCGUGAGUGAUGAAGGCCUUCGGGUCGUAAAGCUCUGUCGUAUGGAACUAACAAAAUGAAGGUACCAUGCAAGAAAGGAUCGGCUAACUUCGUGCUAGCAGCCGC
rnacentral:rRNA from 1 species